rnacentral:rRNA from 1 species
AUGGAGCUUCUACAUGUGGUGCAUACUCUGGUGGCAAAUCAAACUUCAAUAAUGGCCAAGAGUGAGAGAAUGGAAGAACAGUACAAUGAGCUAAAGAGAUUGAUCAUAGCUUCUAGGGGGUCUGUUGAAAUGGGAAGAAUUCCAGAAAAGGAGCUUCCAAAUAAAGAUCCUUCUAAGGACUUGGAAACCAUGAAUGACAAAGAACAAGCAACUUCACUUUCAUAUACUACCAAGGCAUCUGAGGCAAUGGCUGCUCCAAGGCAUCCAGAUAAGGUGAAGGCAUCCCAACUGGAAUCAAAGAAAACAGAAUCAGCACUACCAAGUCUUGCGCCUGUGCCAAAACCAAAGAAGACAAAGACAACUAAACAUAAGAAACCAGAAAUAUUUCAAACACCGCUCCAAAAGGGGCCAAAGAUUAAGACUUAG